ACAGAUGACUGAUGCCCGGUGAAAAGGUGAACGUGACAUAUACCCCCGUCAGCUGCAGGAAAGGAACCACGAAACAGAGGACUGAUGCCCGGUGAAAAGGUUAACGUGUCAUAUACCCCCGUCAGCUGCAAGAAAGGAACCAUGAAACAGAUGACUGAUGCCCGACAUGUACCCCCGUCAGCUGCAAGAAAGGAACCACGAAACAGAUGACUGAUGCCCGACAUAUACCCCCGUCAGCUGCAAGAAAGGAACCAUGAAACAG